rnacentral:tRNA from 1 species
UGAGGGGUCGUCUAACGGGUAGGACACUGGACUUUGACUCCAGGUAUUGCAGGUUCGAAUCCUGCCCCCUCAACCA